UACGGAGGGUGCAAGCGUUAUCCGGAUUUACUGGGUUUAAAGGGUGCGCAGGCGGAUAUGUAAGUCAGUGGUGAAAUCUCCGGGCUUAACCCGGAAACUGCCGUUGAUACUAUAUAUCUUGAAUGCUGUGGAGGUAAGCGGAAUAUGUCAUGUAGCGGUGAAAUGCUUAGAUAUGACAUAGAACACCUAUUGCGAAGGCAGCUUACUACGCAGAUAUUGACGCUCAUGCACGAAAGCGUGGGGAUCAAACAGG
rnacentral:rRNA from 1 species